UCAACCCGUGUACCCACUUCCCCUAUACCCAUUUCCUCAACCAUUCUUCGGUCUUCCCUUUCCUCUCAGUCCCUUCAAUCUUCAAUGUUCUUCGUCUUUCCAUUCCUGGUCCGUGCGUGGUGGUCUAUCUCUCUCAGUUUCCCGUAGACUCGGUCUCUCUCUCGGUCUCUCGGUUUCAGUUCGUGGUCCGUUCGUAGCUUGCUCUUGCAGGUCAGCCCUCUUGCAUGUCUUCCCGUAGCUUGUUUUGUUUUUGUUAUUGCAGUGUGGGUUUUGUGUAGAUUGUUUCUCUGUUUUAUCGGACAUUUGUUUCUAAUCUGCAUUUCUUCUGGCAUUUCUUCAGUCUUGCCUAACCCGUAGCUUGCUCUUGCAGGUCAGCCCUCUCUUUGUACCAAGUUCUCCUUUGCUCUAUCAAUGGAGGAGCCUCUUCUAUUAUGAGAAAUACCUCAAACCCAUCAGCUGUUUCACUCAUUCUCAGGUUGGGGAUCGAAUUGGCAAGGCGCAUUGCAAAGGUAAUUUGCAAGAGUUGUUAAACCCAGACAAAAAACAAGAUUUUAGUAAGAGAACAACAUCAAAUACAAAUUCAUUGGAGAUGGAUAAAAGUUGGAUCCAUCUUAACAGAGUAACGGUGGAAUAUGAGCAAAAAGCUAGAGAGUUUGU